CUCAGGAUGAACGCUGGCGGCGUGCUUAACACAUGCAAGUCGAACGGAGUGUACUUUUAUGAGGAUUCGUCUGAUUUAGCUGUACACUUAGUGGCGGACGGGUGAGUAACGCGUGGGUAACCUGCCUCAUACAGGGGGGAUAGCAGCUGGAAACGGCUGAUAAAACCGCAUAAGCGCACACUAUCGCAUGAUAGAGUGUGAAAACUCCGGUGGUAUGAGAUGGACCCGCGUCUGAUUUAGCUUGUUGGUGAGGUAACGGCCCACCAAGGCGACGAUCAGUAGCCGGCCUGAGAGGGUGAACGGCCACAUUGGGACUGAGACACGGCCCAAACUCCUACGGGAGGCAGCAGUGGGGAAUAUUGCACAAUGGGGGAAACCCUGAAUGCAGCGACGCCGCGUGAAGGACGACGUAUUUCGGUAUGUAAACUUCUAUCAGCAGGGAAGAACAAGUGACGGUACCUGACUAAGAAGCCCCGGCUAACUACGUGCCAGCAGCGGC
rnacentral:rRNA from 1 species